rnacentral:rRNA from 1 species
AGAAUUUGAUCUUGGUCAGGAUGAACGCUAGCUACAGGCUUAACACAUGCAAGUCGAGGGGCAGCAUUGGAGUAGCAAUACUUCAGAUGGCGACCGGCGCACGGGUGAGUAACACGUAUCCAACCUGCCGCUUACUCGGGGAUAGCCUUUACGAAAGAAAGAUUAAUACCCGAUGGUGUAAAGAGUUCGCAUGUUCUCUUUAUUAAAGAAUUUCGGUAAGCGAUGGGGAUGCGUUCCAUUAGAUUGUGGCGGGUACGGCCACCAAGUCUACGAUGGAUAGGGGUUCUGAGAGGAAGGUCCCCCACAUUGGAACUGAGACACGGUCCAAACUCCUACGGGAGGCAGCAGUGAGGAAUAUUGGUCAAUGGACGAGAGUCUGAACCAGCCAAGUAGCGUGAAGGAAUGAAGGUCCUAUGGAUUGUAAACUUCUUUUAUAGUAGAAUAAAGUGAUCCACGUGUGGAUUUUUGUAUGUAUACUAUGAAUAAGGAUCGGCUAACUCCGUGCCAGCCGCGGC